rnacentral:rRNA from 1 species
CGGGUAGCGGAACACGUACGCAAUCUACCCAAAACUGAUGAAUAGCCCUCCGAAAGGAGGAUUAAUACAUCGUAACCUAUUAGAGUAGCAUUACUUUAUUAGUAUAGCUCCGGCGGUUUUGGAUGAGCGUGCGCCUGAUUAGGUAGUUGGCGGGGUAACGGCCCACCAAGCCUGCGAUCAGUAACUGGUGUGAGAGCACGACCAGUCACACGGGCACUGAGACACGGGCCCG